rnacentral:rRNA from 1 species
AUACGUAGGGAGCAAACGUUGUCCGGAUUUAUUGGGCGUAAAGGGCUCGUAGGCGGUUCAACAAGUCGGUCGUGAAAGCCCGGGGCUCAACCCCGGGACGCCGGUCGAAACUGUUGUGACUAGAGUUCGGUAGAGGUGAGUGGAAUUCUCGGUGUAGCGGUGGAAUGCGCAGAUAUCGAGAGGAACACCAUUAGCGAAGGCGGCUCACUGGGCCGAUACUGACGCUGAGGAGCGAAAGCGUGGGGAGCAAACAGGAUUAGAAACCCGGGUAGUCC